AACUGAAGAGUUUGAUCAUGGCUCAGAUUGAACGCUGGCGGCAGGCUUAACACAUGCAAGUCGAGCGGGGAAGGUAGCUUG
rnacentral:rRNA from 1 species